rnacentral:tRNA from 1 species
GCGCGGUUAGCUCAGCGGUAGAGCACCUCCCUGACACGGAGGGGGUCACUGGUUCGAUCCCAGUAUCGCGCACCA